rnacentral:rRNA from 1 species
GACGAACGCUGGCGGCGUGCUUAACACAUGCAAGUCGAACGGAUAGGCCCUGCUUUUUUGGCGUUCUCGAUUGGUGAACGGGUGAUUAAUACGUCAUUAACCUGCUCUCUCCUUUCGGAUAAUUUCAUUUAACUACGGCUACUACUGCAUAGUAGCUCUUACUGCCUCGUGGGGGUUGGAUAGUUUCGGCGGUUGGGGAUGCUCUCGCGGGUUAUCCGCUUGUUUGUGUAGUAGUGGCUUACCAAGGCUUUGACGGGUAGGCUGCCUGAGCGGGUGAACGGCCACAUAGGGACUGAGAUACGGCCCAGAAGCGUACGGGAGGCAGCAGGGGAAAAUAUUACACAAUGAGCGGAAGCCUGAGGCAGAAACGCCGCGUGCGGGAUGAAGGCCUUCAGGGUAAAAACCGCUUUAGCAGGUAACGAAGCGUGAGUGACGGUAAUAGAUAAAGAAGCAACGGCUAAAUACGUG